AUUUGGACAAUGGGCGAAGCCUGAUCCAGCAAUGCCGCGUGCAGUGAAGAAGGCCUUCGGGUUGUAAACUGCUUUUGUACGGAACGAAAAGGCUCUUUCUAAUAAAGAGGGCCCAUGACGGUACCGUAAGAAUAAGCACCGGCUAACUACGUG
rnacentral:rRNA from 1 species